GAUGAACGCUAGCUACAGGCUUAACACAUGCAAGUCGAGGGGUAACGAGAGGAAAGCUUGCUUUCCUUGUCGACGACCGGCGCACGGGUGAGUAACGCGUAUCCAACCUGCCCCCAACUAGGGAAUAACCUUGCGAAAGUAAGACUAAUACCCUAUAAUUUCCUCAGAUGUCAUCUGACGAGGAAUAAAGAUUUAUCGGUUGUGGAUGGGGAUGCGUCUGAUUAGCUUGUUGGCGGGGUAACGGCCCACCAAGGGAACGAUCAGUAGGGGUUCUAAGAGAAAGGGCCCCCAAACUGGAACUGAGACACGGUCCAAACUCCUAAGGGAGGCAGCAGUGAGGAAUAUUGGUCAAUGGGCGGAAGCCUGAACCAGCCAAGUAGCGUGCAGGAUGACGGCCCUAUGGGUUGUAAACUGCUUUUAUACAGGAAUAAAGUUAGCCACGUGUGGUUAUUUGUAGGUACUGUAUGAAUAAGGACCGGCUAAUUCCGUGCCAGCAGCCGCGGUAA
rnacentral:rRNA from 1 species